rnacentral:rRNA from 1 species
AUGGCCCGCCGCAAGUUCCGGCUGUCCGACAUGAUACCCAACGCCUGGUUCUACAAGCUCCGCGACAUGGGCGCCCACGGACGCGGCGGCGUCGGGGUGCAUCAUCGGUCCUCGUCGGCUCGGUCCUACCAGCAGCCGCCGUCGGCUCGGGGUCGUCUGCUCGGUGGAGCGUGGAGGCCGUGCAGCGGCCGCCGUCGUUGGAGCCGCCGGUCACGCCGACGAAGGAGUCGCCCCGUGCCCCGCUCCCUUGCAGGGCGUCAUACUACUACUCCACCAGAGACAGGGAGGUCCCGGCGCCGCCGGCUCCGAAGCCGCCGAGGCUCAAGGACGCGCAAUCGCCGACGAGGAGCUCCAGGAGGCGGCACAAGGUGGGCCACGUGCCUGAAGAAAGAGGACCUGGGUCACCUCCCGCCCGCAGGAAGGAGCCCGUGGUCGGCGCUAGGCAGCUCUGGUGAUCGCAUCAACGGUGAUAGCCUGGCGUGGUGUGCAUACCUCAGCUGCGAGAUACUCGAGGACGGCGGCGAGGUAGACGGGGGCGCCGGAGCCGACGCACUGGGCGUAGCGGCGAGGGAGCGCCCGAUGCAGCCGUCGGGGAACUGCAGCCCGGCCGAGAGAGAGAGGAUGGGUGUGUGUGUGGAGGGGAGCACGUGGGUGGGCCAGGGAUGGAAAGGGACGAGAGAGGAGAGAGACGCUGGCAGGUGGGUCAGCGCCUGCAAAACGGCGAAUUAA